GUGGACUUGAGUGCAGAAGAGGAAAGUGGAAUUCCACGUGUAGCGGUGAAAUGCGUAGAGAUGUGGAGGAACACCAGUGGCGAAGGCGACUUUCUGGGCUGUAACUGACGCUGAGGCGCGAAAGCGUGGGGAGCAAACAAAAUUCCUUACCCUGGUAGUCCACGCCGUAAAACGACCCAAAAGAGGUGUUAGGGGUUUUGAUACCCUUGGUUCCGGAAGUUAACACAUUAAGCAUUCCGCCUGGGGAGUACGGUGGCAAGACUGAAACUCAAAGGAAUUGGCGGGGACCCGCACAAGCAGUGGAGUAUGUGGUUUAAUUCGAAGCAACGCGAGGAACCUUACCAGGUCUUGACAUCCCUCUGACCGGUCUAGAGAUAGGCCUUUCCUUCGGGACAGAGGAGACAGGUGGUGCAUGGUUGUCGUCAGCUCGUGUCGUGAGAUGUUGGGUUAAGUCCCGCAACGAGCGCAACCCCUAUUUUUAGUUGCCAGCACUUUAAGGUGGGCACUGUAAAGAGACUUCCGGUGACAAACCGGAGGAAGGGGGGGAGGACGUCAAAUCAUCAUGCCCCUUAUGACGUGGGGUACGCACGUACUACAAUGGCCAGUACAACGGGAAGCGAAGGAGCGAUCGGGAGCCAAUCCUAUCAAAGCUGGUCUCAGUUCGGAUUGCAGGCUGCAACUCGCCUGCAUGAAGUCGGAAUUGGUAGUAAUCGCGGAUCAGCAUGGCGCGGUGAAUACAUUCCCGGGUCUUGUACACCCCGC
rnacentral:rRNA from 1 species